AAAGUACUCCCUCCAUCCUGAAAUACUUGUCGAAGGAAUGGAUGUAUCUAGAUGUAUUUUAGUUCUAUAUACAUCCAUUUUUAUGUAUUUUUCCGAAAAGUAUUUCGGGACGAAGGGAGUACCAG
rfam:Triticum urartu cultivar G1812 contig588185, whole genome shotgun sequence.